GACGAACGCUGGCGGCGUGCUUAACACAUGCAAGUCGAACGGUGAAGGGACUGGUUUUGCUGGUCCUGGAUGAGUGGCGAACGGGUGAGUAACACGUGAGUAACCUGCCCCCUUCUUCUGGAUAACCGCAUGAAAGUGUGGCUAAUACGGGAUAUUCUGGGUCUGUCGCAUGGUGGGCCUGGGAAAGAUUGCGCCUUUUUUGGUGUUUUUGGUGGGGGAUGGGCUCGCGGCCUAUCAGCUUGUUGGUGGGGUGAUGGCCUACCAAGGCGGUGACGGGUAGCCGGCCUGAGAGGGUGGACGGUCACACUGGGACUGAGACACGGCCCAGACUCCUACGGGAGGCAGCAGUGGGGCAUAUUGCACAAUGGGCGCAAGCCUGAUGCAGCGACGCCGCGUGAGGGAUGGAGGCCUUCGGGUUGUGAACCUCUUUCGCCAGUGAAGCAGGCCUGCCUCUUUUUGUGGGUGGGUUGACGGUAGCUGGAUAAGAAGCGCCGGCUAACUACGUG
rnacentral:rRNA from 1 species